UACGUAGGGGGCAAGCGUUGUCCGGAAUCAUUGGGCGUAAAGCGCGUGUAGGCGGCUUGGUAAGUCCGCUCUGAAAGCCCGGGGCUCAACCCCGGGAGGCGGGUGGAUACUGUCAAGCUCGAGUCCGGAAGAGGCGAGUGGAAUUCCACGUGUAGCAGUGAAAUGCGUAAAGAUGUGGAGGAACACCGAUGGCGAAGGCAGCCCCCUGGGUCAAGAUUGACGCUCGAUGCACGAAAGCGUGGGGAGCAAACAGG
rnacentral:rRNA from 1 species